rnacentral:rRNA from 1 species
AGUCGAGCGGACAGAUGGGAGCUUGCUCCCUGAUGUUAGCGGCGGACGGGUGAGUAACACGUGGGUAACCUGCCUGUAAGACUGGGAUAACUCCGGGAAACCGGGGCUAAUACCGGAUGCUUGUUUGAACCGCAUGGUUCAAACAUAAAAGGUGGCUUCGGCUACCACUUACAGAUGGACCCGCGGCGCAUUAGCUAGUUGGUGAGGUAAUGGCUCACCAAGGCAACGAUGCGUAGCCGACCUGAGAGGGUGAUCGGCCACACUGGGACUGAGACACGGCCCAGACUCCUACGGGAGGCAGCAGUAGGGAAUCUUCCGCAAUGGACGAAAGUCUGACGGAGCAACGCCGCGUGAGUGAUGAAGGUUUUCGGAUCGUAAAGCUCUGUUGUUAGGGAAGAACAAGUACCGUUCGAAUAGGGCGGUACCUUGACGGUACCUAACCAGAAAGCCACGGCUAACUACGUGCCAGCAGCCGCGGUAAUACGUAGGUGGCAAGCGUUGUCCGGAAUUAUUGGGCGUAAAGGGCUCGCAGGCGGUUUCUUAAGUCUGAUGUGAAAGCCCCCGGCUCAACCGGGGAGGGUCAUUGGAAACUGGGGAACUUGAGUGCAGAAG